GUAAGAAUCUUCCGCAAUGGGCGAAAGCCUGACGGAGCGAUGCCGCGUGAGCGAAGAAGGCCGGAAGGUUGUAAAGCUCUUUUCUCGGGGGGGAAUAAGCGGGGGAGGAAAUGCCCUUGUGAUGACGAGAACCGAGGAAUAAGCCCCGGCUAAUUACGUGCCAGCAGCCGCGGUAACACGUAAGGGGCGAGCGUUGUUCGGAAUUAUUGGGCGUAAAGGGCGUGUAGGCGGCUAUGUAAGCCUGGUGUGAAAGACUUCAGCUUAACUGGAGGGUCGCGCUGGGAACUAUGUGGCUUGAGUAUAGGAGGGGGAGCUGGAAUUCCAGGUGUAGGGGUGAAAUCUGUAGAUAUCUGGAAGAACACCGGGGGCGAAGGCGAGCUCCUGGCCAUAUACUGACGCUGAGGCGCGAAAGCGUGGGGAGCGAACAGGAUUAGAUACCCUGGUAGUCCACGCUGUAAACGUUGUGCACUAGGUGUCGGACUUACGGGUUCGGUACCGAAGUUAACGCGAUAAGUGCACCGCCUGGGGAGUAUGCUCGCAAGGGUG
rnacentral:rRNA from 1 species